GGAAGAGGCUGCCUGUCUGCCCCUCAUGAUCUGUGUAUUAUCUUAGUCCUCUGGUGACUCUGGCUUUGUACAGAUAUUCUGGACUUUGCAGUCCUAAGCCUCUGCUCUCUGCUGCAGUGUCCCAUGGGGAGGCAGGGCACAGGGUAGGGCGCUCACAUUUUCUGGUGUCACAGAUGCUCCCAUGGCAGCCACCUCAGCCCCGCUGCUGGAGUCUGGAGCUCUGCAGCUGAGCACCCACAGCUCCCCUGCACCACCCUCCUUGCUCCUGCUUCCCCAGGAGCCAAGCUGACACCCUCCUGGGAUAUAUUCUGUGGUCAUAUUUUCGGGUUUAGAGAUCAGAAAUUCCCCAGAAUCAAUGCACUUAGGAGCAUGCAGAAGCUGAAACAUUCAGUCCCUCUGGAAGUCAGUAGGACAUUUCACACUGGUGAGUACUUCCCUGGACUGGUCUCAGCCUGAGCAUGAACUUUGCUAUUUCUCUUACAACAAGAUUAACUAAGAUUGAAUGAAAGUGGAAACAGAUAAAACUUUCCUUUUAAAGAAGCUGAAAAUAAAGACAAAUAUUUCCCUGAAGAUUUACCAGCAGUAAGGUUGGAUAAACUGUUGUAAAAAUAUGUGAGACCUGUUUCCACAGAGGUUUCCUACCUGUUUUAAGCAGCAAACUUCAGCUGAUAUUUUUUUGUAUGCACAGAACUGCACUACAUGUUGCAGUUGGGUUUUACAGGAUGUAAAAAUCCAGAGGCAAAUGACAAAAUAAUAACUGUCCAAACUAAGAGAAAUUAAUUUAGCUGAUCUUAACUUAACAUGCAUAGGCAAGAUGGGGUUUGUUCUAUUAUUAUCUCAUGCCAGGAAAACUCCAAAGACUUGAGAGAAGAGACUUAUCCUGUGAAACACCUGAUAAAUGCAUUGCACCUCAGGGCAUUUUUUUAGGUCUUUGAAGUCGCAUCAGCCUGGUUUGUGUGAAAUGCAGUAAAGAUGGGCACUGUUGGGCAGUGUUAGCUAUUCUGUGUUUCAUUGCUCAGAACAGCUUUCCUUUUCCAAUGCUGACUGUGACUGAAGCCAACCUGCUGCUAUGAAAGGCUAAAUUGCCUCUUUGAGGGCCCUCUGGCAGACACAGCAUGUGAAAAGAGCAUCCAGGCAUUUUGGUUACUCACUGUUAUACCACAAGAAUGUUGAAGAGUUUCCAGUUUGGAAAGUACAGCACCAAUUCCACACCCUCUGAACAGGUUAAAGGAGGACAUUAAUGCUGGACUGUUUAUUUUCCUCAAAGACUGCCUGUCUCUGAUCUUCACUGGUACCCACUAUGGACAGAACUUGGAGGAAGAUUGCCAAAAUCUGUGUUGCUGAAUGUGUGGUAGAUAGAAAGGCCAUGCUUGAAUGAAUGAUCAGUCUGAGGCAGGUGCCUUCAGAUGGACGAGUGAGACUCUGCUUGUCACCUGAAGCCUUUAGAAGAAAGAACCAUUGGAUGUUAUUCAGCUCCAAAAAGAGCAAUCCAGAGCAUCUCAGGACUUGCUGUGAAUGUUUGGUAAGUCUCAGCAGUAAAUAGAUGCAUCUGGCAAGAUCACCAGACAUUUCUCUUUUCAGCUGCACAUGGGCUCUGUCAGAUCCUAUGGCUUCAGUGAGAUCUCUGAGAAAGCAAACCUACCUCAAAUAAAAGCUCAUAGGUUUUGAUCUGUCAAAACCAUGACAAUUUAAAUUGGCAUAUUUCACACAGCCCUGGUAUUUUCCUUCCUCCUGACUGCAGUUUUUAUCAUUUGGGGUACCAUUUGCUCAAUUUAUUACAACGUGCUCCUGAUUUCAUUCUCCCACUUUGCAGCCCUGGUGCAUUUUCUUCCCGAGAAGGAUCACAAUAUAAAUCACUAGGUCAGAGAAUAAUGAGUUUAGUAUUUUUUAAAAGCCUCCCACUGUAAUUCAGGAUAUCGACUCAUGAUUCAGCAGGUGAUGGGAUAUAAUAAGGGGACAUUUUUUCCUUUAAUUGCUGUUGAAAAUGGAAAAAGGGCAAGAGAAAGACUAAGUUUUCUGAGACAAGGAUUUCAGCUUCACCGGGCUUUAGUUCACUAGAAUCACCUAAUAUGCUUGAGCAUAAAGAGCUGGACAAAGCUAAAAGGAAAAAUAAACUGAUGAAAGUCUCCAGCAGGACUUUCUCCUCCUAGUCUGAAAAAUAGAUUAAAUAUGAUUAUAGCAUUAGGUAAAUAGACAGUGAGAAAAGGCUGACCUCAUGGUCUGUGAGCUGAAUGGAAUGGAGGAUCUCCUGGUUUCCAGCCCUAUCUCUUCCAGACCUGUUUGCUCAUGACAGCAGGGGUGAGUGUUCUAAGAAUCACAAACACAAAGGCCAGGAGGGACCAUUAGAGUUAUCUCACUGAACUGUUGCAAACCCAGUUUUGAGGUAUUUUUGCCCAGUACUUUCUGCACUGAGCCAGUUGAGUAUGGUGAGGGUGAUCAAGGACACAUUUGUGGGAAGCAAAUGGGCUGACAGGGGCAAUGGGUGGGUUGUGGAUUUUUUCUCAGAUUAAAAGUUGGUUGAAGUGGUAUCAUAGGCUCUAAGGAAAGCACUAGAACCUCUCUCAGAAACAAUAUGCAGACAACAAUCCUGCCACCAGCACCUCGUGUCUCCCUGAGAGGGGAACUCUGAGUUCCUGCACAGCCCUCAGUGGGAACAGAAUCAUCACAUUUAACAAACUCAUUCCAGCCUGUGGCUGCUGCCAGGUCCAUCCCUGGCCCAACAGGGCCUGUGUCAGUGCCACCUCCAGCUGCUGACCCUGCAGCCACCCAAAAAGAUGUCAAGAUUUGACAAAGAUUCUUGCAGGUAGAUUUUGUCAUUACUAACUCUUUCACUGUACUAGAGAGGGAAAUCAACCUGAUGAUUCUUAAAUUAUUAUAAUGAAAUUAUUUUUCGAGUAUUUCCAUUCCUUUAAAUCAAACUUAAUGCAUAUCACACUGCCAAAAGGGCAUUGUGUGUCAGGUGGGGUAGUCUCAGAAAUAAAAAUGUUUUGACUGACAAAAAGUAACAUAUUAAAACAUCCAUGCACAGAUGUUAAAACAUCUGAAGGAGUUGAGUGGCCAUUUCUCUGGUGAAAUCAUGCUAAAUUGUUGUAACCCACAGCAGAUUUACAUAAUAUGUUGUUUAUUGUAUAUAAAUUCAAGGAAUUCCCCUAUUCAAAUAAGUAUUAGAUAUACUCAAAAAACUCCUCUGUUACCAACCACUUUAUAGAAGUGGCUUUAUUCCUUGAAAUAAACAAAAACACACCAAAACACCCCCAAAUCUAAACCAUGCACAACAACCUUCAUAGAGAAGUUCAGCUAGGCAUACAGAAAUUAAAACUCAAGAACAAAGAAAGUAUUUUUCCUGUUUGUUUCCCCUGGCCCUCUGCUUUCCCCUCACUCCCUCCUGCCUGCAGCUUUCUUAUCUGUAGCUCAUUCUUUCUCUCUUCUAUUUGACCUGGGGUCAAAUGUAUCUUUGUUACCAUUAUAUCCUUCAGUAUUUUGCAUUUCUCUGUGAAGUCUUCACCCAGUUUGCUCUUUACUAAAGAUUAAAGAAGGACUUUUUUCAUGCUGUUUUGAGGAACAGGAGCGUGAAUUUCUGCAAAUGCCUCUAGUACAUUCCUGUGCCAGUCUCGCUCUCUGUGCCUUCUCCACUUCCAGGAGGAAAAACUGCCAGAAACUGCCCCUGGAGUUUCUGUCCCUCUGUACACUGAGGGACAUGAGCACAUUUGCAGAAUUAAUGGGCUGUGAUGACAUCCCAGUGACCCUGAGAAAGUUGCUGAUAUACUCAGAGACAACAGAGCGGGAUGACAGACAAGAUACCUGAAAUACCUGAAUCCUGGUCUGGCGCUUCCUGAUCUGCAGCAAUGCUCAGUUCAGAAAGGAACUCACAUCACCCAAUCUGCACCUUCCCCUCCCACCUGAGCAGAAGGGGAAUGCUGAUGUGAAUCUCAUGUCUGCAGCAGGAAGCACAAGAAGAGCUGAGAUGCAAGAGCAGUGCUUGUGGCAGGAUGUGCAGAACCCUUCAUACUGUGAGCGAAAGCAAGAGAAGAAGAGCAGCCCUUUGAAAUCUUCCCACCCAUUCUGUCUCUCAGAAACAUAUUGCAUGGAGAUGUAGAGAGAUCCAAAUGCAAUUACUUUCACCAUCAGGAAGAAGAGAAAAGCCAUGUCAGUAGAGCAGCACAUUUUAUCACCACCCUGUCUCCAGGUCCUACCAAGGCUUGGAUAUGCAGUCCUGCGCAGUCAGAAUUAAGGGGGGCUUGCAAUCUCAAGCAAGGCUGUAGGCACACCAGAGAAUUGAGAUUCAUGUGGCUGCAAGCACCUUGGAAAGGCUUCACAAAGCUAUGAAUCAACCAUAGGCCACUUUCAGGGUCAUCCUGAUUAUAGAAGAGAUAAAUGCUGGGUCACUUGUCAGAGCAGCAAGGGCAGCAGCUGUGCCAAAAGCUUUGCUGAGCUUGUGCAAACCUGGACACAGCUGCAGUGAGAAGGUGUAAGGGAAAAAUCCAGUGAUGUGGCCAUGAACUGACAGCAGCUGGGGCUACCUUCAUGGAAAAACAUUUUCUCCAGUUCCUGUUUUAUCUCAUAAAUUGCUCACAACUUUAAAUAAUUCCAGUAAAAUUAUUAGUAUAUUUCAGUGUAAUCUGAAAGCUUUUUUGUGAUUUAGGAUUUACCUUGAAUUUACAUGAAAAUCCAGAGUUUGGCUCUCAAUUGGCCUCCUCCUUCAUUGACACACUCUCAGAAUGGCUGGGGCUUUGCUAACCAGGACAGUGGGAAUUUAGGGCACCAGCAUGGCUGGUGAAACCAGAAGAGGGUUGACCUGGCCUUGGACAAGGUAUAUUUUCAUCUCUGUGAAGUCCUUUGGAACUGGAAUAACCUGGUGAAACAGAAUCUCUCUCAUUUGUGCCAGCCAUGACCAGGUUCUGAUGCCCAAUUCUCCUCCCUGAGCACAUUGGGAUAAAGCUGAUUUUCUUCCUAGUUGCUAGUGUAGAGCUGUGCUUUUAGAUGCAUGACCAAAACAGAGUGAUGGUUUUUUGACUGCAGAGCAAAGCUUAGACAGAGCCAAGGCCUUUUCUUCUCCUCACCCCACCCCACCAGUGAGGAGGAUGAAGGUGCACAAGGAAUUGGGAGGGGACACAGCAGGGACAGCUGACCCAGGGGAUAUCCCACAUCAUAUGGCAUCAUGCUCAGCACAUAGCACUGGGGAAGAAGAAGAAGGGGGGGGAUGUUCAAAGUGAUGGUGUUUGUCUUCUCCAGCAAGGUGUGAUGGAUCCCUGCUAUCCUGGGAUGGCUGAACACCUGCCUGCCCAGGGGAAGUGGUGAAUAAAUUCCUUGUUUUGCUCUGCCUGCAUGUGCAGCUUAUGUUUUACCUAUUAAACUGUCUUUAUCUCAA